rnacentral:misc_RNA from 1 species
GGGUUUUGGCUCCUCUGGUUGAUCUGUGCCAGCUUCUUCUGCGCCAGCCUCUGCCGAGGCAUGGACAGAAACUAGCCUCUUCUUGGUGAAAGAAGCAUUCAGAGGGCUCUGCGAGGAGAGAUUCUUGCACUGGAGCCUUGGGGCGGGGAUGGUGGAGGCGACAUUGGCGGAGGCGGGGAGAGCUCUGGCGCGAGGCGGGGAGGCGGAGGAGGAGGCGAGGAAGGAGACGGUCGGGGAGAG